rnacentral:rRNA from 1 species
GACGAACGCUGGCGGCGUGCUUAACACAUGCAAGUCGAACGGAAAGGCCCUGCUUUUGUGGGGUGCUCGAGUGGCGAACGGGUGAGUAACACGUGAGUAACCUGCCCUUGACUUUGGGAUAACUUCAGGAAACUGGGGCUAAUACCGGAUAGGAGCUCCUGCUGCAUGGUGGGGGUUGGAAAGUUUCGGCGGUUGGGGAUGGACUCGCGGCUUAUCAGCUUGUUGGUGGGGUAGUGGCUUACCAAGGCUUUGACGGGUAGCCGGCCUGAGAGGGUGACCGGCCACAUUGGGACUGAGAUACGGCCCAGACUCCACGGGAGGCAGCGGUGGGGAAUAUUGCACAAUGGGCGGAAGCCUGAUGCAGCAACGCCGCGUGCGGGAUGACGGCCUUCGGGUUGUAAACCGCUUUCGCCUGUGACGAAGCGUGAGUGACGGUAAUGGGUAAAGAAGCACCGGCUAACUACGUG